GCGGCCCCGCCGGGAGGGGAGGAGCGGCGGCGGCGGCAGCAUGGCGGAGGCGGAGGCGCCGCGGGUGGGCGCGUGGCUGCCGGUGCUGGUGGAGCAGGUGGUGAACGACACGCUGGUGGUGACGCUGCGCUGCGGAGAGCGCCGCUUCGCCGGCGUGCUGCUGGACUGCAGCAAGAAGUCCGGGCUGUUCUGUCUGCCCUCCUCCUUCCCAAAGCCCGAGGACCCUCCUGCCGCUGCCUGCGCCAUUCCCACGCACGGUGAGAUGCAGCCGCAGCCCGGGGACGACCAGGUGCCGCCGCUGCUGCCCGCGCCGCCUGGCGUUGUGCCGCCAUACCCGCCCUACUUCGAGGGAGCGCCGUUCCCGCGCCCGCUGUGGCUGCGGCACACCUACAGCCAGUGGGUUCCACAGCCGCCGCCGCGGGCCAUCAAGAGGACGCGGCGACGUUUGUCGCGGAACAGAGACCCGGGACGGCUGAUCAUGAGCACCAUCAGGCUGCGGCCCAGGCAGGUGCUCUGCGAGAAGUGUAAAAAUACCCUGAACCCCGAGGACGAGAACGCGGCGGGGCAGAACGCUAAAACCAGGAGGAAGCUGAGCGUUCAGGACAAGGAACAGAAAAAGCACAGCGACUCUGAGUGCCUGGAGAAAAGGAACAAAAGAGAGAAGAGAGAGGAUGACAAGUUUGCCGGGGAGCUGGUGCAUCGCACGCCAGUUAUCAAAAUAUCCUACAGCACGCCGCAAGGGAAAGGCGAGGUGGUGAAGAUCCCCUCCCGGGUGCACGGCUCAGUGAAACCGUUCUGUCCUGAACAGCUGCUGCAGAACAGAGAGGAGGACCGGGAGGAGGUCGGAGAUGCUGAGCAAUGUCAAGAAACCAAGGGCUUCACGGACAAGGCAGUGGGCAGCCAGCUUGCUUCCAUCCCCAAACUGAAGCUGACGCGGCCGGUGCAUCCCAGUGCUGAUGUCCCGCCUCCAAAGAUCCGGCUGAAGCCCCAUCGCAUCAACGACGGCCAGAGCGUUUCUAUCUAUAAGGCAGAACUUAUCGAUGAGAUAAACGUCCUUCAGAACAGCAGGGAGACGAAUCCCGGUGCGUUUUACACCAAUGAAUCGGCAGACAGAGGUUUGGCCGAGAUCUCUUCGGGGAGUUCGGGUGAAGAUGACGACUUUAAAAGGUUUCCCCAAGGUAAAGACGGACACGAAAACUUGGCUUUCCUUAUGAAUUACCGGAAGAGAAAAGCGGAUUCUUCUAGUUUGUCAGUGUGUAGUAAUGACAGUCUAGACGAAUCCAAGUCUUCUAGUUCGGAGGUAACAUCACCAGAAAUGUGUGACUUUUUACCUGGUGAUGAUGCGUCUGUCUCUUCAUCUUCAAAAGAUGAGCGUAAAAUUGUGCCGCCCUUGACAGUUAGGCUGCAUACCCAAAGCGUGUCUAAAUGCGUCACUGAAGACGGAAGGACUGUAGCAGUGGGGGAUAUUGUUUGGGGUAAAAUUCAUGGAUUUCCGUGGUGGCCGGCACGGGUUCUUGACAUAAACCUUAGCCAGAAGGAAAAUGGGGAACCUUCAUGGCGAGAAGCCAAAGUGUCGUGGUUUGGUUCUCCAACGACUUCAUUCUUAUCUGUUUCAAAACUUUCUCCUUUCUCUGAAUUUUUCAAACUGAGAUUUAAUCGCAAGAAGAAAGGGAUGUAUCGCAAAGCUAUCACAGAGGCUGCCAAGGCGGUGGAGCACCUGACUCCAGAAAUAAGAGAUCUCUUAACACAGUUUGAAACAUAACUGUGCCACCAGUAUCAGGUAAAGAAGAUAAGAGCACAGCUGUUCUCCUAGAAUGUCACGAAGUCUGUACGCAUCCUGACACGCUCCCCAGGAGAAGCGGGAGGUUGCCAUGCACGUGACAGGAGGACGGGUUUCCUUGUCAGCUUGCACUGCUUAUCAUCAUCUGGGAGAGGUGACAGUCACUGGGACGUGGAGUUAGGAGGAUCUUCUGGUGUGAGGCUGGCAGGAAAGAAAAGGAUUUCUUAAUCUAGGAUGAGAAUUUGACAAGUCAUACGGCAAUGAACUAGGAGAACAGCAAAAAAACACAACUUGGAAUGUAUUUAUUACCUAAAAGUUAGCUAUUCUUGAUAAAAUCCCCCAAAUUAUGCUGCUGCUUAUUUUACAGAUUUCACACACUUCUAAUUUUAAAGCUACCAAACAUUUACUCCAUUAUGUACUCUGAGAAAUGUAAUUGGAGGAAGACAUACAGAAGAAUGAAAUCAUUGUAGUGUCUUAAAUACAACGGACUCACUUUUGUGUCUAUUAAAACUUGGAAAAUGUGCAACACGUAACAAUGUGGCUGUCAUUGCAUAUGUUAAAGCUUUUUAAUGUGAUUUGCUGCAGAGCUGAGAGAACUGAUGUUUACAAGUACGCAAACAAGUAGUCAGCGGGUAACUCGGAUGGCUGUGUGUGCUAAGUGAGGGAAAUGAAGUCACCCGAAGCCGUGGGCAGCACAGCUUUGGUCUGCUUGCACUACCUGCGUGGAGGUGAGUUGUUAGCCUGGUGGGCCAGCUGGAGGAUGAGCUAACUUGUGUGUCCACACCUUCUAGUCAGCGAUAUAAGGCCUCUUAAACACCUGCCGUUGGGUAGAAGAGGUCCUCAUCCUCACACAUUACCAGAAGUGACUGGCAGUCCUUAAGAAAAAGAGAGAAAGCAAGCGGGCUGUCCACCCUACAGGAGAAAUGGCUUACAAACUAAAGUGACCUGUAAUCAAACUUCUGAAACUAAAUCACUUAAUUUCUUUUGGUCUGCAGUCGUCUAGGUUUUCCCUGGAAAGAGGUCCUGUCUAGGAAUUUGAUGAGGAAUAUCAAAUAUUGGUAGGAAUUUGUUGCUUCUGGUGCUCCGAGAAGAGUUCAGUUGCCCUUGCUAGGUUAAAUGUCAUCUGCGUGUGCUAGAAGAUUAGCUUCUGGCUGAAGAACCAUUGCACAGAUUUUACUUCCUGUUUCUUCUUAAUCUGUUGCAGCAAAUACUGCGACGAACUGUUGUCAAAUUCAAAGACCGAGUGGAAAGGAAAACAUAGAAGCUUGUUUUCUUGAUUUAUGCUGGUUAUAAUGUGGUAUUGUGAACGUCAGCAAGAGAGAUCCGAACUUCCUCUUUCUGCCUAACAGCAACAAAGUUUAACAUGAAAAGUCCAACACCAGAAAAUCCCUUCUGCUCAGUCUCGAUAAAAGCAUUCAGUCAAAAAUGUUUCUCUUAAAACUGUUGAAAGGCUGUGGUAAACAAGCAAACUAAAAUGUAUUGCUAAAAUAGGACAUCUGUCUCCCAAGGCCAAUUUUGGCUACCUCUGCAAACAAAUAAUUUUCCUGUUUUCCAGAAAUAAAUGUAAAAAAAGACAGCAGUGUAUAGAGAAGGUGUUCUUGUACCUUGUGUACAGCCUUUAAGAAGCAGUUGUUUACCUGGCAUCUGCUGUCCCCAUCUCCAAAACAGCAUGUGUAGCUGGCGAGGAUGCUGAGUGCUCCCACUCAUGGGAAAAAACAGUUUGGCCUUUAUCAAUGAGUCUUGAGGAAUUUCUGGGUUUUUUUCCUGUUUGUUUUUUUUUUUUCUAGCAUCCUCUCAAGCUUAGGGCUGGCUGGUGGCUAUGUGAGGUGAUUUCUAUGUUUGCUGCGCACACAGAUGUUCAUUGUACAAAUUCCCUGCCAAGAUGUGUUGCAAAGCUUUGUGGAUGCAGAGCGGCAGCAGUUAGCUGACAGGAGUUACAGAUAGCCUGCUGGCUGCUUAAAAGAAAAGGGCAAAAUGAAAAGAAGCAAAACCCCCAUGUCCAGGAAAAGCAGCUACCUGGAGCUGCUACGAUCUGCAGAUGGUGCCAGUCGCCCCAGGCACAGCUCACAGGUGCCCCACGCUCUGGGUCUCACUGCCUGCUGGUUCGAGUUCUGAGGGCUGGUGCUCAGUGCCUCUGUUCUCCAUCCUGGCAUCAGUGCUGCGAGCAACAUGGAACGGAUAGGGAAGCUUAAAGGAUGAAGCAGAUGAGUGAACCUGAAGAGCUGCUGAAGGUGAGUCAGCAGAUGGACGCUGCUUGGCUGUGCACGGCUGCAGAGUGCAAAGAAGGCUGCGGGGUGACCUCAUUGCAGCCUUCCAAUACCUAAAGGGAGCCUACAAACAGGAGGGGAAUCAACUCUUUGGAUGGGUAGAUAACUGCAGGACAAGGGGAAAUGGCUUUAAGUUGAGGGAGGGCAGAUUGAGGUUGGAUGUCAGGGGGAAGUUCUUUAUGGAGAGAGUGGUGAGGUGCUGGAGCAGCUGCCCAGAGAGGCUGUGAUGCCCCGUCCAUCCCUGGAGGUGUUCAAGGCCAUUGGAUGGGGCCUUGGGCAGCCUGGUGUAGUAUGAAAUGGGGAGGUUGGUGGCCCUGCCUGUGGCAGGGGGGUUGGAGCUUCAUGAUCCUUGAGGUCCCUUCCAACCCGGGACAUGUGAUUCUGUGAUUCUGAGUUUCAGUAUAGACAGAACAUAGCCCUCAGGGGCCUGAGCAGCCUGACCUGUGUGUGUGUCCUUCCUCAACCCGAGGCUGAGCUCUGCAAGUGGAUUACACACCAGCCUUAUGCAAUAUCCCAGCACAAAGUGUGGCUGUCCAUCUGCAGAUGGGAGUUGAAGAGGCUGGCUCACUGAAAUGAUUGUUCUUUGGUUUUGGCAAGGCUUAAAGCAAAAAGCUCACUGCAAAUUGCCUUUUUGCCUUGUCCAUUAUGCAGAUAAGUGAUAAGAAUUAUGCAGCAAAUGCAGAAGCAAAAGCCAAGAGCAUACUGGUAUUCCAUUUCUUAUCUGAUUUUAAGAAGUUAAGUGGAAGUUUCUGUUGUAUGUAAUGAUGUGAAGCUCUGAACAGCUUACUUUAGUCUUUUGUUCUGACAAAGCAAAACUAUUUGGCUAAAAAAAAGUGGAAAUUCUUCAGGGGUUGUAAGUUGUCUUCAGUAUUCUCUGCCAAUUGGUUUUGAGUUACCCCUUGAACACCACUAAUCAGUUCCUACGUCUGGUGACACUGUUCUUUCUGCUCAAUUGUUAAGGUUUCCCUUCAUAUAAUUCUAAAACUUGCAUGUGGCUUUAGGAAAUGGUAGGGCUGCUUCAGUUCAUUUCAGUUCCUGUUACACUAACGGCUUCUUAUAGCCGCCUCUGCUCCACGCUGCGGUUUUGGAGGUUUCCUCCUGAGCCCUCCAGCUGUGCUUCGGCUCAAACAGCCGAUGUCCUAAGCGUAGGGCCUGCAGAAUCACAGAUUGUUCUUUGGUGUAUUUUGGGUCGGGAUUUUUCUAUAUUUUAUUCUGACUUAAAUGCUAAAGCUAUUACUAUUUCCUUGUAAGAAGGCGUUCUGCAAAUAUUCUGAAUCUGCAGAUUGCAGCUAUAUGUGCACAAUCCACCUUCCCUCGGCCUCACAUCUCACACAUUUUGAGCAGCCUGUCAGGUCUGGGAGCCUCUCCGCACCCGUGUGAGAGCUGUGCCCAGUGGGUUCACACUCUCUGAAGGGGAGAAGUGGGGUGUUUUAUAGAACUGGAGAGUGAUUUGGUUAUAUAGCUGGCUCUGAUGAACCCAGCAGGUGCCCUGGCUUAGCAGCACCCGUGUCUUGGUGAGCUGUGGGGUGCCCCAUGACAGUGCCGUUUGGGCUUGGGCUGGUGGUCUCCCAUCACCAGCUGCUGGCUCACCCACCAGCUGGGUGCCAGCUGUGUGGUGGUACGUGGCACGGAUCGUGGGCCAGCCCCCACCUCGUCCCUUCUUGUCCGUGGCAAGAGGUUGGCAGCCAGGCUGCAGGAAAACCUCCACCAACCAUUUUAUGGUGUAAUUGAACUCUCCACGCCUUCUGUUGACCCAAAGCAAUCAUUUGUCAUAACUGAGUUGUGGAAUUUCAGCUUUUUACUUGCCAUAGUCCCGCAGGCUGGAGGUGUUGGUGCCGGGAGGAGGUGGCUGAGCUGGGCCCUGCCAGGCCCCGUGCGCCCUGCGUGCCGGGCAGUAACGGGUGUUGAGAUGCUGGGUCAGCGGCAGCUGGCACUGGGCUGGUUCUGCAGGGUUCUCUGCCACUCCUUGGGGAAAAAAAAUCAUCCUUCUGGCCAGCUGGCUACAUUCAGCUAUAGCUGUGCUUUGCGUUAGCAUGUCCUGCUGGCUCGGCUGCAGUCCUGGAGCGCAGACCUUCCCUGCGGCUGCAGCUGCCCUUGGUGGGCAAGAGGCCCUGAGCAGCCCCUUGUGAAGGUGGGAGCAGCCUUCUGCUGGCCACAGGCAGCUGCUAGGCUGUCAGUUUUCUGAUUUUGCUGGAUCCUUAGAUGAUCGUUACUGUCCAGGUUUUAUUACUACUGAUAGCAGAGCAUUUCUAAGCAGCACUGGCGGUGCCCAGUAAGAGCAAGCUGCUGGCGUCCAACCCAGCGCCUCUCCUGUAUGGAAAGUAUUUGCUUUCUUCUGAAUAUUUUUUUUUUAGUGCAUAUUAUAAAACUCAAAGUUGGGCAAGUUGUUCUUAAAAUUGAUUUCUCUGGGAAAAAUACAUAAAUGGUAAGCUGGUUUGCAUUAGAUACCAAAGGCUGGAGCAUUUGGCUUUGAUAACCACAACCUAACGUGGCCUGAAACAGCGUGUAUGGAAAAGAAUAUCUGAACUGGAUGCUGAGCAAAGCCCCAGCUGUGCAUUUUGGACCUGCAACUGUACUGUGAUGGCGACUGUACCCAGGGUGGGUGGUUGUGAAGCCUUCAUGCUGCAGGACACUGGGGCUCCUUCCUGGCACUGGGUCUGGCUGCUGCCCCUCCCUGCAGGCCCGCUGGCCCCACUGGCGCUGCAGUGCCUGUGUCUGAAGUUUGGGCUUGUUUUGCAUUUUAUUUCUGGCUUGUGGGUUCUGCUUUGAUUCUCUUUAUUACUUUCCUCCACCUCAUAAUUUUGCUCAGCGAUAUAGCUUGCUGAAGCCUGUAGUGAAUUGGUAUGGCUUUAAUUAGUUGAUGGGCGUGAGCUAAUGAGGGGUUUGGGCUGGGGUUGUGCUGGCUGGUGCUGUGGGGCUGGGCACUGGGGGAGCAGCCACGUGCUGCUGCGGGGAGCGCAGGUAUGCACUGCUCCAGUGGCAGCACAGUCUGUGCCAGUAGCUCUAGAUAAGCAUCCUCAUGUCGCCAUGACCUCUCCAAGCUGCGUUCAUUUAUAAUUUGCACAACUGAAGUUUUGUUGGUACAGAAAAAUGGAAUUUUCCCGGUGGCAGGGAGGACUGGCAGAUGAGUCAUUGGACUUCAUUAGCUAAUCUUAGAUCUGCUGUGAAUUACUCAGUAACUACUGAUACAGAGUGGGCUAAGAAAGUGCUCGUUCUGAGCACUUAAUUUUAGAAUUUGGGCCUCUUCUCCAGCAAGGAGACUGCAUACAUGGGAUCGGUGCCACCAGCAUCUGUGCAUGCUGCUUCCCAGGGGCUGGCCUCGGAGGAACACUGCUCUGAGAUUGAACCCAUACAUGAAGUUCAGCUAGGUGAGGGUGCAGAGAAUGCAGAUGGUGGGUUCCACACAAACUACCCACGCUGUUCUGUUUCCCCCUGGGCUGUACCGCCUGGUCCAGGAGUGUGGUAAUGGCCUCUGGGCAUGCUGGGCACCGCACACACUGCCACUGGGCACUGUUUCUAGGGGCCCUGCUGCCAAAGUGUCCCGUGCCAGGCUGUAGGGUUCCUGACCCACCUGCUAUUAGGGGAAAAUAUGACAGAGAGUGCAGAUAAAAGUCUUGUCACCACUAGGUGACCUCUAGCUGAGAUGGGUACCCAGACACAUGGCUUAUUAGGAACCUGGAGCACACUGACUGCUCGAUUUCACCGUUGAAGGGUUCAUGCUUGCUUCCAAAGGUUUCCUUUGGAACGUGGUACCUUGUGGAGUUCCACAGGACUAAACCAUUUUGUGAAUCAUUCUCAAAAUGGGCUUUGUUUCAUAGAAUCAUAGAAUGGCUUGGGUUCAAGGAUCAUCAAGUUCCAACCCCCCUGCCACAGCAGGGCCACCAAUCGCCAGGUCAGGCACUAGACCAAGCUGCCCAGAG